rnacentral:misc_RNA from 1 species
AACCAUAGAAACCUGCGGAGUACCUGCGGAGGGAUCAUUAUAGUAUAUGGAAUCUCCAUUCUAUAAACCCACUCUGCGUAUCUUGUAACUGUUGCUUCCAUGGGACUUGGUUCCGCCACACCGGCUUCACGGCUGGUGAGCGCCCAUGGAAGGAGAAACAAAACUCUUCUUUGAAAUGUAGUCAGUCUGAACAAGUUUUUAUAAGCGUUAAAACUUUUAACAAUGGAUCUCAGAUCGGAA